AGUGAACGCUGGCGGUAGGCCUAACACAUGCAAGUCGAACGGCAGCACAGUAGGAGCUUGCUCUUACGGGUGGCGAGUGGCGGACGGGUGAGGAAUACAUCGGAAUCUACUUUUUCGUGGGGGAUAACGUAGGGAAACUUACGCUAAUACCGCAUACGACCUACGGGUGAAAGCAGGGGAUCUUCGGACCUUGCGCGAUUGAAUGAGCCGAUGUCGGAUUAGCUAGUUGGCGGGGUAAAGGCCCACCAAGGCGACGAUCCGUAGCUGGUCUGAGAGGAUGAUCAGCCACACUGGAACUGAGACACGGUCCAGACUCCUACGGGAGGCAGCAGUGAGGAAUAUUGGACAAUGGGCGCAAGCCUGAUCCAGCCAUACCGCGUGGGUGAAGAAGGCCUUCGGGUUGUAAAGCCCUUUUGUUGGGAAAGAAAAGCAGCAGGUUAAUACCCCGCUGUUCUGACGGUACCCAAAGAAUAAGCACCGGCUAACUUCGUG
rnacentral:rRNA from 1 species